GUACGCUGGCGGCACGCCUAACACAUGCAAGUCGAACGCAGUAGCAAUACUGAGUGGCAAACGGGUGAGUAUAAUGUGGGAAUCUGCCUUUUGGUUCAGAAUAACACGGGGAAACUUGUGCUAAUACUGAAUAAGCCCUUACGGGGAAAGUUUUAAUGCCGAAAGAUGAGCCCGCACUUGAUUAGCUAGUUGGUAAGGUAAAAGCUUACCAAGGCAACGAUCAAUAGCUGUUCUUAGAGGAAGACCAGCCACAUUGGGACUGAGACACGGCCCAGACUCCUACGGGAGGCAGCAGUGGGGAAUCUUGCACAAUGGGGGAAACCCUGAUGCAGCGAUGCCGCGUGAGUGAAGAAGGCCCUUGGGUUGUAAAACUCUUUCGUCGGGGAAGAAAAUGACUGUACCCGAAUAAGAAGGUCCG
rnacentral:rRNA from 1 species